GAUGAACGCUGACAGAAUGCUUAACACAUGCAAGUCGAUGGGGAUGUGGUGCUUGCACCAUGGUAACCAUGGCGGACGGGUGAGUAACGCGUAAGGAACUUACCUGCGGGACCGGGAUAACAGCAGGAAACUGCUGACAAGACCGGAUAAGGUCAUUAAGCUGCAUAGCUUAGUGAUGAAAGGAGACGCCUGCGGAGAGCCUUGCGUCCUAUUAGCUAGUUGGAGGGGUAACGGCCCACCAAGGCGAAGAUAGGUAGCCGGCCUGAGAGGGUGGACGGCCACAAGGGGACUGAGAUACGGCCCUUACUCCUACGGGAGGCAGCAGUGGGGAAUAUUGGACAAUGGGGGCAACCCUGAUCCAGCAAUUCUGUGUGCACGAAGACGGUUUUCGGAUUGUAAAGUGCUUUCAGCAGGGAAGAAGGAAGUGACGGUACCUGCAGAAGAAGCGACGGCUAAAUACGUG
rnacentral:rRNA from 1 species